rnacentral:misc_RNA from 1 species
AACGCACCUUGCGCCCUUUGGCUAUUCUGAAGGGCAUGCCUGUUUGAGUAUCAUGAACACCUCAACUCUCAUGGCUUGCCAUGACGAGCUUGGACUUUGGGGGGUCUUGCUGGCCUAUGGUCGGCUCCUCUUAAAUUGAUCAGCUUGCCAGUGUUUGGUGGCAUCACAGGUGUGAUAACUAUCUACGCUUGUGGUUUUCCACCAGGUAACCUUCAGUGAUGGAGGUUCGCUGGAGCUCAUAAAUGUCUCUCCUCAGCGAGGACAGCUUUUUGAACAUUUGAUCUCAAAUCAGGUAGGACUACCCGCUGAACUUAA